rnacentral:rRNA from 1 species
AUUGAACGCUGGCGGCAUGCUUUACACAUGCAAGUCGAACGGCAGCGGGGUAGUGCUUGCACUACUGCCGGCGAGUGGCGAACGGGUGAGUAAUAUAUCGGAACGUACCGAGUAAUGGGGGAUAACCAAUCGAAAGAUUGGCUAAUACCGCAUACGUCCUGAGGGAGAAAGCGGGGGAUCGCAAGACCUCGCGUUAUUCGAGCGGCCGAUAACUGAUUAGCUAGUUGGUGGGGUAAAGGCCUACCAAGGCGACGAUCAGUAGCGGGUCUGAGAGGACGAUCCGCCACACUGGGACUGAGACACGGCCCAGACCCCUACGGGAGGCAGCAGUGGGGAAUUUUGGACAAUGGGGGCAACCCUGAUCCAGCCAUGCCGCGUGUAUGAAGAAGGCCUUCGGGUUGUAAAGUACUUUUGUUAGGGAAGAAAAGGGAAGUGCUAAUACCACUUUUUGCUGACGGUACCUAAAGAAUAAGCACCGGCUAACUACGUG